rnacentral:miRNA from 1 species
AUUGGUGCAAAAGUAAUUGCGGUUUUGCCAUUGAAAGUAAUGGUAAAAACUGCAAUUACUUUCGCACUAA